UACGUAGGGUGCGAGCGUUGUCCGGAAUUAUUGGGCGUAAAGGGCUCGUAGGCGGUUUGUCGCGUCGGGAGUGAAAACCAGGUGCUUAACACCUGGCUUGCUUUCGAUACGGGCAGACUAGAGGUAUUCAGGGGAGAACGGAAUUCCUGGUGUAGCGGUGAAAUGACGCAGAUAUCAGGAGGAACACCGGUGGCGAAGGCGGUUCUCUGGGCAUGUCCUGACGCUGAGGAGCGAAAGUGUGGGGAGCGAACAGG
rnacentral:rRNA from 1 species